rnacentral:rRNA from 1 species
GAUGAACGCGGGCGGCGUGCAUAAUACAUGCAAGUCGAACGCUGGAAUCUAGCUUGCUAGAUUGAAGGAGUGGCGAACGGGUGAGUAAAUACAUAAGCAACCUACCCACGAAGACUGGGAUAAUCUCUGGAAACGGGGACUAAUACCGGAUAGGUAAUCGGAAGGCAUCUUCUGAUUAUUAAAGGUUAAAAACACUGGUGGAUGGGCUUAUGGCGCAUUAGUUAGUUGGUGAGGUAACGGCCCACCAAGACGAUGAUGCGUAGCCGGCCUGAGAGGGUGAACGGCCACAUUGGGACUGAGACACGGCCCAGACUCCUACGGGAGGCAGCAGUAGGGAAUUUUCGGCAAUGGGGGAAACCCUGACCGAGCAACGCCGCGUGAGUGAUGACGGCCUUCGGGUUGUAAAGCUCUGUUGUAAGGGAAGAACGGUAGAUAGAGAAUAUCUAAGUGACGGUACCUUACCAGAAAGCCACGGCUAACUACGUGCCAGCAGCCGCGGUAAUACGUAGGUGGCGAGCGUUAUCCGGAAUUAUUGGGCGUAAAGGGUGCGUAGGCGGCCUGUUGAGUAAGUGGUUAAAUUGUUGGGCUCAACCCAAUCCAGCCACUUAAACUGGCAGGCUAGAGUAUUGGAGAGGCAAGUGGAAUUCCAUGUGUAGCGGUAAAAUGCGUAGAUAUAUGGAGGAACACCAGUGGCGAAGGCGGCUUGCUAGCCAAAGACUGACGCUCAUGCACGAAAGCGUGGGGAGCAAAUAGG